AUUGAACGCUGGCGGCAGGCCUAACACAUGCAAGUCGGGCGAGUGGCGGACGGGUGAGUAAUGUAUGGGGAACUGCCUGAUGGAGGGGGAUAACUACUGGAAACGGUAGCUAAUACCGCAGACCAUCAGAUGAACCCAUAUGGGAUUAGCUUGUAGGUGAGGUACAGGCUCACAUAGGCGACGAUCCCUAGCUGGUCUGAGAGGAUGAUCAGCCACACUGGGACUGAGACACUGCCCAGACUCCUACGGGAGGCAGCAGUGGGGAAUAUUGCACAAUGGGCGCAAGCCUGAUGCAGCCAUGCCGCGUGUAUGAAGAAGGUCUUCGGAUUGUAAAGUACUUUCAGUCGGGAGGCGUUACCGACAGAAGAAGCACCGGCUAACUCCGUGCCAGCCGCCGCGGUAAUAC
rnacentral:rRNA from 1 species